rnacentral:tRNA from 1 species
AGGGGUGUCGAUCAACGGUAGGUCGGCGGUCUCCAAAACCGCUAAUGAUGGUCCGAUUCCAUCCACCCCUG